GACGAACGCUGGCGGCGUGCUUAACACAUGCAAGUCGAACGGAGAGGCCCUGCUUUUGUGGGGUGCUCGAGUGGCGAACGGGUGAGUAACACGUGAGUAACCUGCCCUUGACUUUGGGAUAACUUCAGGAAACUGGGGCUAAUACCGGAUAGGAGCUCCUGCUGCAUGGUGGGGGUUGGAAAGUUUCGGCGGUUGGGGAUGGACUCGCGGCUUAUCAGCUUGUUGGUGGGGUAGUGGCUUACCAAGGCUUUGACGGGUAGCCGGCCUGAGAGGGUGACCGGCCACAUUGGGACUGAGAUACGGCCCAGACUCCUACGGGAGGCAGCAGUGGGGAAUAUUGCACAAUGGGCGGAAGCCUGAUGCAGCAACGCCGCGUGCGGGAUGACGGCCUUCAGGUUGUAAACCGCUUUCGCCUGUGACGAAGCGUGAGUGACGGUAAUGGGUAAAGAAGCACCGGCUAACUACGUG
rnacentral:rRNA from 1 species